GACGAACGCUGGCGGCGUGCUUAACACAUGCAAGUCGAGCGGUAAGGCACCUUCGGGUGUACACGAGCGGCGAACGGGUGAGUAACACGUGAGUAAUCUGCCCUUCACUUCGGGAUAACCGCCGGAAACGGUGGCUAAUACCGGAUACGACGCGCUUUCGCAUGAGAUGCGCGUGGAAAGUUUUAUCGGUGGAGGAUGUGCUCGCGGCCUAUCAGCUUGUUGGUGGGACGGCCGUACCAAGGCUUCGACGGGUAGCCGGCCUGAGAGGGUGACCGGCCACACUGGGAC
rnacentral:rRNA from 1 species